GUAUAGAACCUACCUUAUAUUGGGGGAUAGCCCAGAGAAAUUUGGAUUAAUACCCCAUGGUAUGUUUAGGUGGCAUCACUUAGACAUUAAAGAUUUAUCGAUAUAAGAUGGCUAUGCGUUCUAUUAGCUAGUUGGUAUGGUAACGGCAUACCAAGGCUACGAUAGAUAGGGGUCCUGAGAGGGAGAUCCCCCACACUGGUACUGAGACACGGACCAGACUCCUACGGGAGGCAGCAGUGAGGAAUAUUGGACAAUGGAGGCAACUCUGAUCCAGCCAUGCCGCGUGCAGGAAGACUGCCCUAUGGGUUGUAAACUGCUUUUAUAGAGGAAGAAACCCCCCGACGAGUCGGGUCUGACGGUACUCUACGAAUAAGGAUCGGCUAACUCCGUGCCAGCAGCCGCGGUAAUACGGAGGAUCCAAGCGUUAUCCGGAAUCAUUGGGUUUAAAGGGUCCGUAGCGGAUUUGUAAGUCAGUGGUGAAAGUUUGCGGCUCAACCGUAAAAUUGCCAUUGAUACUGCAAGUCUUGAAUGAUUGUGAAGUGGUUAGAAUAUGUAGUGUAGCGGUGAAAUGCAUAGAUAUUACAUAGAAUACCGAUUGCGAA
rnacentral:rRNA from 1 species